rnacentral:rRNA from 1 species
GACGAACGCUGGCGGCGUGCCUAAUACAUGCAAGUCGAACGCAGUGGGGACGGGUGAGUAACACGUGGGUAACCUCCCAUCAGAGGGGAUAACACUUGGAAACAGGUGCUAAACCGAUACUGAUGGAUGGACCCGCGGUGCAUUAGCUAGUUGGUGAGGUAACGGCUCACCAAGGCCACGAUGCAUAGCCGACUUGAUGGGGUGACGGGCCACACGGGGAUUGAGACACGGCCCAGACUCCUACGGGAGGCAGCAGUAGGGAAUCUCCGGCAAUGGCCGAAAGUCUGACCGAGCAACGCCGCGUGAGUGAAGAAGGUUUUCGGAUCGUAAAACUCUGUUAUUAGGGAAGCGGUACCUAACCAGAAAGCCACGGCUAACUACGUGCCAGCAGCCGCGGUAAUUC